rnacentral:lncRNA from 1 species
UGACUGUCCUACUGCUGAACAUCUAGUCUGGCUUUCAAGGCAUUGCAAGACCUGACUCCCUCUUCAAACCCUGCUUAUUUCCCCCUGAACCCUCUGAGCAGAUGCUCUGGUUGGCCUAUCCAAUAGUCUUCCCCAGCUCCAAUCCUUUUCUUCCUACUGACAGAGUGUGAAUUCCCACAGUUAAGGCUAAAAAUGCCAGAUACACACUUUUUCAGCCUUCUUUGCAGGUAGGGGUGGGCAGGGCCCCCAUUUCUGGCCAAUGAGGGGAGGCCUUCUGGUAAGGGGGGGUUCUGAUACCCCCUCAAUCAAAAGAGAGACACCUAUUUCCUGUCUUAGCAUCUGCCACUCCCUUGCUUCCUGCAAUUGGAUGUGGUUGAGUGGUUGUUUCUGGAGCUGCACUGGCCGUCCUGUGGCCUGAGGUGACAAAUCUGUGGAUUAGAAGCCACCAUGCUGGCAGAUGAUGGGAUGGAAGAUGACCGGACCUGCGGCUCUCGAUGGGACGGCUGAGCUGUUGCACCAGCGGAGCCCAGCUGCCCUAGGCCUCCCAUUACAGGCCGUCACAGGACACCAUCGGGGGCAGGCCAUGGCUGGCCUGGUUCACUCUUUCUCAUGACUGAUUCAUUCAUCAUGGUCAGGAUGGACUCCCCACUGGCCGCCACAUAUUCCAGGUUUCUGCAGACCUCAGGCUUCGGCUUCUCAUAUCCAACUCCUGAUACCCAUUCAUUUUUCUCUGGGCUUUUCCAAUUUGUGUACACUCUUUAAGGACCAGUUUGAGUAUCGACUUUCCUCUUCCAUGAAUCUUUGCAUACGGCAAUUGGCUACAUUAACUUCUACUUUAAGUACUGAUAUGUUUUCUAUUUUGUGACAAUUCAUCUUCCUUCCCAUCUAGAUUUUAAGCACCUUAUACCACCUUUGUUUCAUUGCAUCUCCCAGGAUAGUGAUGGGAUAAAUAAGUGCUCAAUAAAUCACUGACAAUUGAUGGUGUGAUUGAUCGCUGAUCUAGGACAACUACAACUGAAGCAACAUUUUAGGUCUUCAUUGAUUUGCUUUGCAAUUUCCUUCAUAGAUGACUGGAACAUAAAUCUUCAGUUAGGGCCAGUUCAAAGUUUUCCUGACUCAAAAUAUUGCAUUCAAGAUUGGUAUUUUAUUAACCAGAGUUGAUCAAUUCUGUCCUCAGAUCUGUGUAGAUCUCCAGAGAGAUAGAAAGGAAAAUGCUAUUGGAUGGAGAAAAAUUACUAAAAUAGGAACGAGAACAAUAAAACAACAUGAACACUAGCUGAUAAAGACCCUGAAUGAAAAGGACCGAAAUGAAAUCAGUUGAACUAAGACCGGAGACGGGGGGUCUUCUGUCCUCCGCUCCCUUCUCCAACCAUCCCCUCUGCAAUCUCCCACACUGCAGGCAAAGUUCACGGAAGUCUGUUUAAAAGACUUGUGAACUUUAUAGGGUAAAUGCAUUCUACUUAUAUAUUUAAGUCGUGGGAGUUUCAAGAUAGCUCAAAAUACUUGCUAAUUUUCUAACUGGGGUCUGAAUUUUCUGGUUCUUACUGAGUGAACUUUUUGUGCCUACUUAUAUUCUGUUACCUGAGGCAAGGGUCAUCUUGCUAUGCUUUUAUAUCUUUUUCUUAAUUCUCGCCACAUGUUGUGUCUCUUAGAUCCAGAUUUCAGUUUUAAAUUUGGAACCGGGGGAAGGGAGCUCACAUUUAUUGUGGGCCUACCAUUUGCCAGCACUUUAUAUAAGAAUCACAUUUCAUCCUUCCAGCAGCCGUGUGAGGUGGAUAAUAUUGUUCUCAUUUUAUGGAUGAGAAAACUGAGGCUCCAAGAGGUUAAAUACCCAGCACGAAGCAACUCUGGCGUUAAUCCCCACGGCAGAAACUUUUCAGUUCUAUGUGUCAGAAAUUCAGCUCACACGGGCUCAGCAAAAGAGUGGUUUCCUGAUUCCCAUAACUGAGAGAUGUCGGUACUUCCGACCCAGCAGGACCUAGAGGCUGAGAUGCUGUCCUCAGGACUCGGCCUGGCUCUGUUUCACGCUCCCUCUGUCCCCAGGUGGGCCCUUCCUUACCUCGUAGGGUCCAGAAGGCUCCCAGCACUCCCAGUUGACAUCUCACAUUCUCAGCUAUCCCAGCAGGAAGAGGACUUCUCUCAAUGUUCCACCAAAGGUCCAGAACAGAAGCUCACUGGCCUGGCUUAGACACCAUGUGCUGUGGUCUGAGUGUUUGUGCCCCCGUCCAAAUGUAUAUGUCAAAACUUCACCCCCUAUGUAAGAGUAUUUAGGGGCGGGGACUCUUGAAAGGUGGCAGUGUCAUAAGGGUUGAGGGUUGAGCACUCAUGAAUGGGAUCAGUGCCCUUAUAAAAGAGGCCGCAGUGAACUCUUUUCCCUAUGUGAGAACACAGUGGAAGGACAGCCGUCUAUGAACCAGGAAUCAGGCCCUCACCAGACACCAAAUCUGCUGACAUCUUGAUCCUUAGGCUUCCCAGCCUCCGGAAUUCUCUGACCCAGGGACAUGCUCCUCCUUGAGGAAGCGCACUGCAGGCAGAUCCAUCAGACCUACCGUCAGCUCUGAGGUGCCUUCUCUUAGUCCUUCGUCUAUACAGAUUGUUGGCCACCAUAUUUCGCCCAGGCUGCAGUGGAAGAGCCCUCGGGCUCUGGAGCCUAUGACCUGGGUGAGUGUCUCCUCUUAAUACCACCUCUCAACUCUUGACCUCCGGCAAGUUACUUAACCUCUCUGUGCCUCGGUUUGCCUUAUCUGUAAAUAAAUUGAGGUAGGUGAAGCCCUUAGCACAGUGCCAGGGGCAUAUGCAGUGUGAAAUAAAUGUUAGCUAUUAUUAUUAUUACUUCCUCUGGGCAUGGUGAAAAUGUAAUGAGCUAAUGCACAGAAAGCACCCAGAACAGUGACCAGCAUGGAAGUUCAUGCUUAGUCAAUGUUUGUUGCUGUUAUACCUUAGAAACCAGCAGGACAUACCAAUUGUCACUUCCUGGCCAGGCUCACAACCUUAGCUGUCUGUUCAAUCAACCUGACGAAUUUUUAAAAUAUACCCAUCAAUGGGCCUCAUCCUAGCUCAGUGGGUCUCAGCUUUGGCAGCUCAAUGCAAUCACUUGGGGAGCUUUAAUAGCUAUGGAUAGCUAAGCUACAUUCCCAGAAACUCUCACAGAAAUGGCCUGUAGUGUCCUGGCCGGUGAAAUGUGUCAAAGCUUCCCAGGGGUGGCCAGAGCUGAGAACCCUGUCUUAGGAGGAUCUAAUUGGAAGAGAGGACAUCAUAGAUAAUAUAAUAGUGACAUCAUAGGUGACAGAGGAAAUGCCCGGUGGCUCUGAGACCAGCAGAGAGGUGCAGGCAACUCUCUGGGGGUCCAAGACAUGGUCCCUCGAGGGCCUCCCGGUGGGUAUUGAGCCAAGGAGCAGCCAGUGGUGAUCACAGACUCCAACCAAGGGCUGGGCCCCUCCAGAGUGAGCAGAGCCCUGCUCAGCCAGCUCCUGCAAAUAUCAAUCCUGCAGGAAGGGUUGUGGGGAGAAGACACUGUUCCAACCAACUGACCUGCUGGAUUGGAGGAUCUAGAAACCUACACGUGACUCUGGCCAAGAUAAAAUGCUUCAAGAUUCCUGGGUACGCUCCACAUGGAUGAGGGCUGUGUCUUUUUAUUCACUGAUUUGUGCCUAUAGAAAAGACUUACUACAAGGCAGAAGCAGUGCCAGGCGAGCAACAUAAACGCAGCCUCUGCCUUCGUGGGCCUGACCAUCUAGAGAGGCAUGUGGAUGUGCACACUUGGAGGCCCACAGGGGUACCUGGUUUGUGGGGUGUAGAUGCUGCUCACUGAGCUGGCAGCAGGGUGGGACCACUAGGUUUGGAGCAGGGUAUGGGCUUGUGGGGCAGGGACUCUAAGUAGAGUCAUUCGUUUUUGCAUCUCUAACACAGUAGCUGCCUUCUUGGGCCACAUGUUCGAAUCUCCUAGGGAGCUCUUAAAAAUGACUGAAGCCCAGUCCCCCACCCCUAUGCAUUCUGCAUUCUUUGACCUGAGGGUGAGGUCUGAGAAUGUGAAUUUAAACUUUCUCCUAUGAGUGGACAUAGCUGGGCUCUGGACAAGUGCUCUAAUGCUUAGCAUAGAACCUGAAUGACAGAAGGACUCCACAUGGCAUAUGGAGCCUGGACAGGGAAGUCCUAGUUAUGGCAGUUGGGGGUGCAGGCUGGCCCUCCAACCCCUGUAACCUUCUGGGAUGCUUCCUGGAGGGGCACCAAUCUGGCAUUAAGAUUUGAGGGAGGAGAGAGAAUAGCUGGGGGCCGGGGCAAGAGGCAGGGCUCCCAUUCUUGUAGGCUUGCCGAUUUUGAACAAAUUUGCCAGGCAGGCCUCGCUUGAAUUCUUGGAUGCAGAAGGAAAGGAAGGCUCAGAAUCAGAUGAUGUCCUUCCCCACUGAGCUCAGCCAGGGCUGGCCUUGCUAACCAAGGACGCUGCACCCAAUGGCCUUGCUCCCCUGUAAUCUAUCCGAAGACCCUGACAGAACCCUCAGGCUUAGAAACAGGAGGUGGGUCUUGAGGGCCACUGGAGCUCCUGGAAGAACAAAUGAAUGAGCUCAUUCUUCAAGGGAACGCAGGGCCGGGACAGAAGCUACCGUCUGCCAGAUGCGGCUCUCUGUGCAGCGCCUUUCUGAAGAUUCAGACUGUUCCCAUGGUAAUUUGAGUGAAAUCGUGGGGGAAGCAGCUCAUCACCGCAUGGUCAGUUAGACAUAAAAUGUGUUUUAAAAUAAUUUUCUUUGACUACAUCUGUUAUCAAAAAUCACACCCACCUCCAGAGUAUACAUUGCAAUUUUUAAAAGUGAAAAUUGAGGAAAAGUGCAUUCUUAUCAAAAUAGCCCCCUCUUUUUUUCUCCCCUCUCUCUCUGCCUCGAAGCCAUCAAAUUGAUUCAGCUUAAGGCUAAAUAUAGGGUUGACUAACAAUGAUUUCCACAAGAGCUUUAGAAAUCGCUUGUAAGCGAGCAAACGGAAAAUAGAUCGUCCCACAACCACAUCAACCAAUGUCUGAGACAACAGCCUAAAUCCAGCUGCUGAACUGAAACGCAAAGGAAUGCUCUGUCCCUUGGCUGGCCCAGCAGUUGCAAGGCCCCAGCAGAAGGGGAGACAUCGAUGGCGCCCAGUGCCCUCAAGGCGGGUCUGGCUGGUUGCUGUUUGGAGAUGUUCCCUGGGAGGGGCUGAGGGGUUGCCGUGAGAAGCCCAUUCAUUCCACUGUGGGUCCCAGGGUGGGUUUUCUGGAAAUCAAGUACUUUGUGAGCCCUGGCUCUAUGUAUCAUAGCAAAUGAGACCCUUUGCAUGUUUUGCAUCUCUUAGGAGGCCUGGAGUAUUGGCAAUAGCAGGUCAGAGAGGAAAGGCGAGCUGCUGGCCCAGGAUGCUACAGAAGGGGCCUGGUCAAGAAUCACGACCAAAAUAGCUCCUGUUGACAGGAGAGGCUCCUCUUCAUCAACGCCCCUUAUUAACCUUUGCAGAACACCGUGACUGCUCUGGCCUGGCAGGCAGUUUUAGUACCAUCCUGAUGCCUGGGCAAGACGGGAUCCUCCCUCAGCCCUGUGCCCCUGAGGGCCCCACUCCCCACUCCACAGGGUAAGAGGUCCAGGGCCCACUGGGAUGUGUCCACCUAGAGUUUUUGCCUCACCUUCUAGACCAGGGUUUGCAAAUGACUCCUGGGCCACUAGUUUCCAUUCAGCUCAUAAGCUAAGAAUGGUUUUUAUAUUUUUAAAUGGUUGUAAAAACAUCAAAGGAAGAAUGAUAUGUGAAAAUUACAUGGAAUUUAAAUUUUGGUGUCCAUAAGUAAAGUUUUCCUGGAA